rnacentral:rRNA from 1 species
UAGGGAAUCUUCCGCAAUGGACGCAAGUCUGACGGAGCAACGCCGUGUGAGUGAAGAAGGAUUUCGGUUUGUAAAACUCUGUUGUUAGAGAAGAACAGCGCAUAGAGUAACUGUUAUGCGUGUGACGGUAUCUAACCAGAAAGCCACGGCUAACUACGUGCCAGCAGCCGCGGUAAUACGUAGGUGGCAAGCGUUGUCCGGAUUUAUUGGGCGUAAAGCGAGCGCAGGCGGUCAAUUAAGUCUGAUGUGAAAGCCCCCGGCUCAACCGGGGAGGGUCAUUGGAAACUGGUUGACUUGAGUGCAGAAGAGGAGAGUGGAAUUCCAUGUGUAGCGGUGAAAUGCGUAGAUAUAUGGAGGAACACCAGUGGCGAAGGCGACUCUCUGGUCUGUAACUGACGCUGAGGCUCGAAAGCGUGGGUAGCAAACAGG